rnacentral:rRNA from 1 species
GAUGAACGCUGGCGGCGUGCUUAACACAUGCAAGUCGAACGGAAAGGCCCAAGCUUGCUUGGGUACUCGAGUGGCGAACGGGUGAGUAACACGUGGGUGAUCUGCCCUGCACUUCGGGAUAAGCCUGGGAAACUGGGUCUAAUACUGGAUAGGACCACUUCUUGGAUGGUGUGGUGGAAAGUUUUUUCGGUGUGGGAUGAGCUCGCGGCCUAUCAGCUUGUUGGUGGGGUAAUGGCCUACCAAGGCGUCGACGGGUAGCCGGCCUGAGAGGGUGUACGGCCACAUUGGGACUGAGAUACGGCCCAGACUCCUACGGGAGGCAGCAGUGGGGAAUAUUGCACAAUGGGCGCAAGCCUGAUGCAGCGACGCCGCGUGGGGGAUGACGGCCUUCGGGUUGUAAACUCCUUUCGCUAGGGACGAAGCGUUUUUGUGACGGUACCUGGAGAAGAAGCACCGGCUAACUGCGUG